rnacentral:rRNA from 1 species
CGUGCAGGCGGUUCGUUAAGUCUGAUGUGAAAGCCCCGGGCUCAACCCGGGAAGUGCAUUGGAAACUGGCGAACUUGAGUACGGGAGAGGGAAGUGGAAUUCCGAGUGUAGGGUGAAAUCCGUAGAUAUUCGGAGGAACACCAGUGGCGAAGGCGGCUUCCUGGACCGAUACUGACGCUGAGACGCGAAAGCGUGGGGAGCAAACA